rfam:Microbacterium ginsengisoli strain DSM 18659 RR49_contig000079, whole genome shotgun sequence.
GGGGAUGAUCGGUUUCGACAUCGCCUGCGAAUCUGCGAGAAGCGGGCCGAGGAUGCAGGGUUAUCUCGUGAACGCCCCCUGCGAACCAAUAACUGCCAACAAGUCGCAGUCCGACUUCGCCCUCGCUGCCUGAGCAGCGAGCCCGAGUCCGUCAGUCCGUAUGUGAUUCCGAUACGGGUCCUGGCGUCAUCUAGGAAUCUUGCUUCGUAACCUCGCCUGAGGGUUGCGAGGGACUCUUUCAGGAUGAGUCCGUCGACGCAGGUGUCUGUGACAAGCGUCGGGACUGAGAACACGUCUGCACAGACUGCGCCCGGAGAAGGCGCAGAGACCCAGCGAUGGACGGGGGUUCGAUUCCCCCCAUCUCCACCA